rnacentral:lncRNA from 1 species
UCUUAUUCGUUCUUUGCUCUCUUGCUAAUCAUAUUUUCUUGGGAAUUUCUUCUUUUCAAACAAUGGUGUGUUGUCGAGGGGCCUGUGAACAAACUUUGUGACCAACUGCUGGCCGAAUAUAUAAACUCUUAAAGAAUGACACUAACGAACUGGAAAAACUGCAAAGGGUGAAAGAGGUCUUCUUCCAUGUUCAACAUGAUGCUGUGUGCAACCGGGAUCCACCUGAUGCUUUUGAUGAUUGGCUCAAUGAACUUCUUGAUGCUGCAUAUGAGGUUGAAGAUAUCAUAGAUCUGUUCAACGUGGAGAAGGAAUUAGAGAUUCUUUCAAAGAAUAAUAACAGCAGCAGCUGCUACUUGGGAGUAUUUCUCGCAUACAGAUCAUGUUACCAAAGACUGAAAAGAAACCCCUAAAGAACCUUGAGUUGAAAGAGGGGGGAAUGAUGGUGAAAUAGUCUAAAGAUUCAAUAUUUGUUCAAUAUGUUGAUUGUUUUUAUUUAGAUUUUGGUACAUGUUUUGUUUUAUUUUACUCUCCCCAAGAUCUGUACUCACAUAUCUCUGUGUAACAAAUAUCGAGUGGCGAUUUUUAUUUUGAUAAUGGAAUAUACAUUUCUACAUUUUUUUUACCUUCGGAAUCCGAAUGAUCUAUCAGAACCACACAAUAAUCAUUCAUCAGUUACAUCAUAAUAAAAUUACGUAUACAACAAUACUCGAACUUUGAAUCCUUAAAAAUCUUAAUAGUAACUUGAAACGAGUGGCAAAUUGAAUUUGUGUUCUAUUGUUUGUUCAUUCAGAAUUCAGAUAAAUAAUUUACCAUUUGUAGAAAAAUGUUCAUCUCCAAUUCUCCAUAUAUAAACUAAUAUGAAAGCGAUUCAUUGAUCUAAAUAUGAUAAGAAUAAUCAUCAUACGAUCUGAUAGGAAAACCACAGAUUUUGUCUGAAGCAAAAAAUCUGGAAAUUUUGGACAAUAUUUUGUUUCUUUAUUACCUGCGAUAUGUAGCAUGAACCAAACAUCUCCUCUUCUUUGGUGGUGGCAUGAGGCAGAGAAUCAGCAGCAUAAUAGCGAUUGCUGCUGCAACAAGCAAGCCCAUGAAUUCUAUACCUUCUUCUUCACUUUCUACACAAAAAACCUUGGUCUUCCCCAUUUUUUGACUGCCUCUGGGAAAAAUGAAGUAGCAGAUGGGUUUGGAUCUUAAUU